rnacentral:lncRNA from 1 species
GUCAAUGUGGGGCACAGUGGGGUCAAUGUGGGGCACAAUGGGGUCAGAUGUGGGCACAAUGGGGUCACGUGGGCACGUGGGAUCAGAUGUGGGGCACAUGGUCAAUUGGGGCAACAAUGGGUCAAUGUGGGGCACAAUGGGGUCAGUGGGGCACAAUGGGGGUCAAUGUGGGGGCACAAUGGGGUCAGUGGGGCACAAUGGGGUCAGAUGUGGGGCACAAUGGGGUCAAUGUGGGGCACAAUGGGGUCAGAUGUGGGGCACAAUGGGGUCAAUGUGGGGCACAAUGGGGUCAAUGUGGGGGCACAGUGGGGUCAGAUGUGGGGCACAAUGGGGUCCAAUUGUCGGGCACAAUGGGUCAAUGUGGGCACAAUGGGUCAAUGUGGGGCACAUGGGUCAAUGGGGGCAACCACG